rnacentral:rRNA from 1 species
UACGUAGGGUGCGAGCGUUAAUCGGAAUUACUGGGCGUAAAGCGUGCGCAGGCGGUUUGCUAAGACCGAUGUGAAAUCCCCGGGCUCAACCUGGGAACUGCAUUGGUGACUGGCAGGCUAGAGUAUGGCAGAGGGGGGUAGAAUUCCACGUGUAGCAGUGAAAUGCGUAGAGAUGUGGAGGAAUACCGAUGGCGAAGGCAGCCCCCUGGGCCAAUACUGACGCUCAUGCACGAAAGCGUGGGGAGCAAACAGG